ACAAGUAACAGCUCAACAACAAGCUCUAAAGAAGCUUCAACAAUGGGAUGUUUAGGGAAUUGCAGCGCCAUUGACAUAAUCACUAGGGUGAUCACUUCUAGUGACUACUCAUCAUGGUUUAGUCAUGACCAGCUGAGGCAGGCAAAAAGGAUCUUGACCAAGUUCUAGUCUCUUGCUAUACGGGAUACUGAUCUUUGAGACAAGAUACGGUUGAAGAGCUAGGGGGAAAUAAACCUGGAAAUAAAGACGGCUCCUUAGCCAGUUUUACUCUUGCUUAUAUCAAGCUAAUGAAUUAAUUAGCGGUGAGGCCACGGCUGACCAGCAUCGUCAUCCUCGUUGUCAAGUGCUAAGCAAACGAGAAAUACGCGUCUACCCAGCCAGAUUUUUACCUACAUUAAGAGGAAGGCCCCCACAGUGUAUUCGUAAACACGUUUCUUUGAGGUGUAUUCAGACAGAGGAUGGAGGAAGAGGAGUCGAAUAUAAUCGAAUGCAGAUGGUAUCUUUUCUUGCAUAUUUCCGAUGAUGCAACAAGAUUAAUUCACGUUCGUUUAUCGCACUAUUGAGCAAGGAAUUUCGUGCAAAGAGAAUGAAAAAAAAGAUGAAGAGGGUGAAAACAGCGUACUGAUAGGUGGAGUGGCGUGUGUAAUGGUUUCGUUAGCGCAAUCUUCGUCGCUCUGAUCCGGACAAUCCGGGUGGCCGUCGCACCUGUAGACACCCUCGAUGCACUUGUUCCCGGUGACGCAUUUGAACUGGGUGGGUGUGCAUUCCCGUUCUGUUUGUGUGGUCGUUUGUGUCGCAGCAGGAAUACACGGGAGCAGAGAACACACAUUUAUAUAUACAGAUAUGUUGACAAUGCUGCUGAACAGGGGAUGGUUUUUUGUUCAGGGGGACUCGAUCGUUCGUCCAUUGAAGAAGAAUUUUUUGCCUUUAACACUAGAUCUCGUCUGUUCCAUCUUUGGAAAAUGAUCGAGCUUGGAAUUUUCUAAAAACUUCAGUUUCAUGAAAGUUAAGAAACUAUUAUAUAUUAGGAUGUUGAUUUAUAUUUCUUCUUCCACGUCUACGUUAUCCGGUUGAUAACUAAAAAUUCUUGAGAUUUAAAUGUUUCAAAAAUUACAAUUUCAUUAUAAAUCGUAAUAAAUAAAAAUAAAUUUCUGUUUAAUGAGUUUUACAGAUGUUUAAAGAGUUUCUUUAUAGUUUAUUAUAUUCGGCUGUUAUUUUAUACUUCUUCUUCAGUGUCUAGUUACCUUGUCCUCCUGAUAGAGGAUAAACGUUGCGCGUUGAAGAGGGGGGAUCACCUGUAGGGUUUCGAUUCUGUUAUGACAUCACGAAAAGCUCGAAGCUCGUCCACGAACAACGAAAGCGUUCGACGAACAACGAUACAAAAACUAUUGCUUUGAACAAUACGGGAGAGGGACGAUCGACCCUCUCAUUCUAGCGUUUUAAAUUGGAUUAAGGAAAGUCCUCUAAACUUUCUGGGGACUCAGGACGCGUGAAUCUAUAUACAAUUAAUAAUCUAGAGAGGUGAGGGUUAAAACUUUGAAACUACAAAUGUACAAAUGUAGGCACGGCGGGUAACAAAAGCUUUGACGUUUUUCUUUUCCUUUCUUCACUAUUUUUCGGUUGACCAGCAACUGAUUUUUCAUCCAGGAUAAUAUAACUAUAUUAAAGUA